AAUUACAAUUUUGCCCCUUUUUUCGGCUCUUUCAGCAUCAGCUGGCUUCAAGCCUUGAACAAUAUGUUUCAACCAAUAUUUUGUAAAUCAUGUCUCAUUAUUUACUGUUUUUUUUGUUUAUUAAUCAAAAUCAACUUCAACUUUUAUAACAACGCAAUCAUCUUGAACAAUUGACAAGUUGUCUUCCUCAAUAUUUCAAUUAUUGUUAAUUUUACCCUUUCAUUUUACUUGUUGCAAGUGUUGUUAUGUAAUAUAGUUUCAUUUUUUUCAUGCUGUAAAAUUGUAGUAAUGAAGGAUUAAUACAAAUUACAUUUAUUUAUGAUGUAAUAUAAAACAAUGAACCCUCUUAAUCUUAAUCUUACCACUGAUCUUCCCAACCAGCUCUCAAGAUUAUACCUGUUUAAUAAUUUCAGCCGUUAAUCAAGAAGGAAUCAUGAUGGUGGUUACAGCCAAAAACGUUGCCAUUCAGAUGAAGGAUAACAUGAUUGAGAAAGAUGUAUUGGUGAAUGUUGAGGAUUGCGAAUUGAAAUAAAUGUCGCGGUUACAUUAUCAUGUUGCUGUUUGGUGUUUACUUAAUUGAGGGUGAACAACAGGAAAGGUUAUCAUGAACAUCAUCAUCAUAAUAAUCAUCAAUCGACUGAAUAUUGUGACUUUCUUACUCCAACUACUCGUGACACCAAAUGCCUUGAUAAGGUAACAGCAAUCAAUUUUCAAAAGCCGUUUUAGCGUUUGACAGUUGAUCAAGGUCAAUAUUAACCUACACAAAACACCAAACAAUCUAGUUUUUCCUAAGCAGAAAAUUUAGUCAACUCAAAGAAGACUUAUUCAACCCAAAAUUCAACCAAGCAUCACUGAUGAUCACCAAUAUCGCUUAAAGAAGGAGUCGGAGUGGAUAAGAGAAACAAGAUCAACUCUAAGUCAUUGGCUUUUUUUGUAAAUUGUCUUCAAUUGACAGAAAAACUGUCAAAAUAUUUGACUUUUUUACCCGCUUUUAGUUGGAUUUUUUUCCACCAUCACCAUCAACUUCCCAUCAAAAAGGAGCAAUUGAACAAAACAUUUCUUUGUAAACAAGACAGUCUCUAACCAAGUUGAAACUCUUGUACUAUUUACCUGGAAAAAAUGAUGAAUGUUUGUCAAGGGAAAGAAAAAAGUACCUCAAGUUGGGAGAUCAUCAGCUAAGUCAAGCAUCAUCAAGAAUCCAAGAAGCUUCCAAAAAAUGCAAGAAGAAUCAGUAAAUAAUCAACUAAAUGGUCGAGAAAGGAAAAGAGAUUUUAAAGUGUUAUGUUCAUUGGAAAUGAUCAAUGUUGUUGACUUUACUUUUUCACCGUCUUCAACCAGGCUCAUGAUCAUCUGCUCAUUUCAUCACUGGAGGGCAAACUUGAGCUACUCUAAAUUGUAUCACGAAUCGGAUGAUGAAAUGAAAAUUAAUAGUCUCUUGCUCUUAAUAAUCUAGAAGAUGUCAAAAGUAAGAUGAAAACAACAGCACACGAUGAAGACAUUAAUUUUUAAUCUGACUAUGUUAGUGUCCAGUGGAUAUCCGUGAAGAAGGCGGCAAUUGCUGUUGAUGUUAAUGAUGAUGAAGAUGACGAUAAAGAUCUAAAUCUAAUCUCGUUUGCAUAGAGUACAAAAAGGGUGAAAUAAGAAAAGAUUUGGCGAUUUUUUAUUAUUAAUUUAACCUCAAAGUGGAAUAUUUUGAUGGAGAUGAACUGAAUUUCUUGUUCCGAAAUUUUUUCAAACCAAACCUUUAACGGAUAUCCAGGGAUUCACGUUGAUUUGGCGUUUACUUGUGGAUGAAUUUCAAUUUGAUUACCUUGAGGCAAUCAAAAGUCAUUUGAAAGGCAAAACGAUCAAAAUGAAGAGGCCAUUUGAAUGAGUUUCAGCUAUUAAUCAACUUAUCAUAUUAGGUCUAAAAAGAUGCCAUAAAAUGAGGCGCAAUAAUAACAACCAUCAGUGAACUUUUAACCAACACCAGAUGGAUAUUAUUCGUGAUUUAAAAGGAUUUAAUUGUGAUUUUCUUAAUUCUUCUUCUCAUUUUCACUUGGUCUUCACUUAGCUUCGCUUUUAGUAGGCUUACAAGUGAUUGUCCAACGAUAUUUAAUAUCAAUUGAUGAUAAUGAUGAAUUUAACACAAAUUAAAGUAACAAUAAGAAAUUUAAAGAAAUUAA